UUUUAACGAUAACUUGAGGAGAGAUGAGGUGAUUGUCAAAGAUAAGAAACAAGUUAAAGUGGUGUACCCUUAAUUUAAAAAUGGUGAAGCUACAGUAAGAAGUGUUAGAGUUCAUCAAAUUUUUGAUUAUAUUGAUGAACUUUAUCACACAAUGAUGAAGGCUACCAAAAAGCAAUUUGAAAAGGCAUCUGAAGAGUUGUCAAAUAUGUCUCCUGCACCAAUGCAUACAAUGUUUGAGAGACAAUCAAGAGCAAAGGCCAUUAAAAAGAAGAUCAACCGCCAGAAAAUGGUAGUUGCAAAUGUACCACCCACCAAUGUCCAACCAACAGUGUCAAAUAACAUCACCAGUGAAGAAAGAACUCGUCCACACUGUCGAGCAUGUGGGAAAGCAAUGAAAGGCCAUCAAUAUGUCCUUGACUGUCCACGAAACAAGAAUCCAAAAUGAGGGUGAAUAUUGGCAUACAAAUAGUAAUUUAUUCAUCCUCAAGUUCAUCAUCAUCAUAACCUUGGAAAUCUUUUCCAGGAAAUCGAGUCCUUAUUGAAUGAUAGGCACAAGCAGGCAGUGGUAUCCUUUUCCUUCCUAAGUAACCAUGCACCAGCUGGGUAAACUCUCGAUAGGCAACACUUCUUAAAUACCUAUAUUUACAAAUUAAACAAAUGUUUGUUUCACAAUAAUUAAAUUUAACAUAAGAUGAAA